CUCCUCAUUGCCGGCAGCUAUACAUGCAGUCGAGCGGACCUCUUCGGAGGUCAGCGGCGGACGGGUGAGUAACACGUGGGCAACCUGCCUGUAAGACUGGGAUAACUCCGGGAAACCGGAGCUAAUACCGGAUAACCUUUUGAACCGCAUGGUUCAAAACUGAAAGACGGUUAUGCUGUCACUUACAGAUGGGCCCGCGGCGCAUUAGCUAGUUGGUGAGGUAAUGGCUCACCAAGGCGACGAUGCGUAGCCGACCUGAGAGGGUGAUCGGCCACACUGGGACUGAGACACGGCCCAGACUCCUACGGGAGGCAGCAGUAGGGAAUCUUCCGCAAUGGACGAAAGUCUGACGGAGCAACGCCGCGUGAGUGAUGAAGGUUUUCGGAUCGUAAAGCUCUGUUGUCAGGGAAGAACAAGUGCGGGAGUCACUGCCCGUGCCUUGACGGUACCUGACCAGAAAGCCACGGCUAACUACGUGCCAGCAGCCGCGGUAAUACGUAGGUGGCAAGCGUUGUCCGGAAUUAUUGGGCGUAAAGCGCGCGCAGGCGGUCUUUUAAGUCUGAUGUGAAAGCCCCCGGCUCAACCGGGGAGGGUCAUUGGAAACUGGAGGACUUGAGUGCAGAAGAGGAGAGUGGAAUUCCACGUGUAGCGGUGAAAUGCGUAGAGAUGUGGAGGAACACCAGUGGCGAAGGCGACUCUCUGGUCUGUAACUGACGC
rnacentral:rRNA from 1 species